rnacentral:rRNA from 1 species
AGCGGCGGACGGGUGAGCAAUGCUUAGGAAUCUGCCUAUUAGUGGGGGACAACAUCUCGAAAGGGAUGCUAAUACCGCAUACGUCCUACGGGAGAAAGCAGGGGAUCUUCGGACCUUGCGCUAAUAGAUGAGCCUAAGUCGGAUUAGCUAGUUGGUGGGGUAAAGGCCUACCAAGGCGACGAUCUGUAGCGGGUCUGAGAGGAUGAUCCGCCACACUGGGACUGAGACACGGCCCAGACUCCUACGGGAGGCAGCAGUGGGGAAUAUUGGACAAUGGGCGCAAGCCUGAUCCAGCCAUGCCGCGUGUGUGAAGAAGGCCUUAUGGUUGUAAAGCACUUUAAGCGAGGAGGAGGCUACUUUAGAUAAUACCUAGAGAUAGUGGACGUUACUCGCAGAAUAAGCACCGGCUAACUCUGUGCCAGCAGCCGCGGUAAUACAGAGGGUGCAAGCGUUAAUCGGAUUUACUGGGCGUAAAGCGCGCGUAGGCGGCUAAUUAAGUCAAAUGUGAAAUCCCCGAGCUUAACUUGGGAAUUGCAUUCGAUACUGGUUAGCUAGAGUGUGGGA